UGGGGAAUUUUGGACAAUGGGCGCAAGCCUGAUCCAGCAAUGCCGCGUGCAGGAUGAAGGCCUUCGGGUUGUAAACUGCUUUUGUCAGGGAAGAAACGAGUUUCUCUAAUACAGAGACUUAAUGACGGUACCUGAAGAAUAAGCACCGGCUAACUACGUGCCAGCAGCCGCGGUAAUACGUAGGGUGCAAGCGUUAAUCGGAAUUACUGGGCGUAAAGCGUGCGCAGGCGGUGAUGUAAGACAGGUGUGAAAUCCCCGGGCUCAACCUGGGACCUGCAUUUGUGACUGUAUAGCUAGAGUACGGUAGAGGGGGAUGGAAUUCCGCGUGUAGCAGUGAAAUGCGUAGAUAUGCGGAGGAACACCGAUGGCGAAGGCAAUCCCCUGGACCUGUACUGACGCUCAUGCACGAAAGCGUGGGGAGCAAACA
rnacentral:rRNA from 1 species